AACUAACUAUGGGGGUUGGGGGGGAAUAAGUUUAUUGCAUUUUUUCAAAUGUCUUGAAUUACGUACAAUGUGAUGAUGAAUUCAAAUGUAUUGAGGACUUGGGCUGCAUGCUUUAUGCAGAGUGUAUGUGUUGCACCUUUGUUUUAUCAAUAUGAUUUUCUUUUGCUGAUACCACUAAAAGAAAAGCCGAAAAAGAAAUGUGAAUUUAAGUCAUUUAGACGCUACUCCUGCUUGAUAAUAAAAUUUCCAAGAAUAUCAAACUUUCUCUAGGGUGAAGGUUGCAUAGUUUU
rnacentral:misc_RNA from 1 species